rnacentral:lncRNA from 1 species
CACUUCAGAAAAUGUCUGCACAUGACCUUAUGGAAAGUUUGAAAAGUUAGAAAUAGGCCAAGUGUGUCUUGAUCCAUUCUUCUGAACACGCCUCUUCUGCUGCUGGGAAGGCCUAGCUCUGAAUUGUCUUGACACUGGGGGGAGAAGGAGCUGGCAGUGAGCUGACCUCUACCAAAGUGACCCGGAUCCGGAAGCCAGUGGAGGAGAGCCUGGGGCUUGGUAGAGGCAGCAUAGAUCAGGGAUAAGAACAUAGCCCGAGGCUCACCUUUCACUGCAACCAAGAAGAUGUAUAACCUUGAGUGAGACACCUAAUUUCUCUAUGGCUCCUUUCUGCAUGGAUAAGUGAGAGGCCCAGAGAUUGGAGUCCAGCAGUAAAACAUACCCACUGCCUGCAGCACCUCCCAGGUACGGGGGCAGGUGGAGUAAACAUACUGCGUUAUCAAGAGAGAAAGGCAGAGCUUGGCCAAGAGAGAGGCCUCAAAGGCAGCGCCCAGGAAGGCCAGGCUCUUGCCCACGAUAACCCGUAUCCUGGGGCCUCUCCCACGGAGCACAGGGUGUACCAGUUUCCUCACGACCACAGCUCCAACAACCUUUCUCUAUUAGCAAAAUAUCUCUGGGGUGAAACCUGACGCUGGAGCUCUGUGCCGCCCUGUGCUGUGUGGGUUUUAGACAACAUGUCUCCAGGAUCUCAAACACUCCUUCACAUUGGGUCAUAGCAAGAAGUUCGCCUCAGGUGCCUUCACUGACGGAACAAGGAGCAUUUAUUUCCCGGUUCUUGGUUGGGGGUGGGGGGGCACUUUUCUCUCUUCUUGGGCUGUGCUCCGAGAGUUUAAUAAGGAUCCAGACUCACUUUGCAUGAGGGAGUAUGGACAUUUUAAUCCUCCUAGGCCUCUGUAAAGCAGGGAUAACCCUUCACCCAGGUUGUGACAGAGCCACGCCUACAGGCCCAGGAAAUGCCACACUGUGAGUGGCGCUUGACUCACUUCAACCAACAGGCUUGAUCCUGAAAAGAUCUGUUUAAAUUAAAUCAUGCUCCAGGGACUGGCUCAUCAGAGGAAUCCAGACGUAUAUUCUUCUGUAAGGGGAAAAACAUUGAGACCCCAUAAAUCAGCAAUUUGGGAAAUUGGGAUAUUUUAAGAUGCUUUCAUUGAAGUAUAUCUGUACAGGGAAAAAGAUGAGGGGGGUUGAAUGUCUUUUUCCUUCAAUAGACUUGAAGUUGUGUGAAGUCAAGACACCGAGUCUUCUUCAUCUUCUCACCUUGUGACCUCCGCGCAGCGCCCAGGGCACAGGAGGGGUUCCACAGAUAUUUGUCAAUGAAUGAAUACAUGAGUGUUACGUUAUUUCCCUUAAUAGUCAAAGUCUCUCCUUGAGGGAAGCAUCAUUAUCUGUUUAUAGGCAAGGAAGUUGUGGCUGUUGGUUAGCUAAUUUGCUCAAGAUCAUACAGCAGGUGAGAGCUGGAGAUGAUAGGAUUAAACCCAGGUCUAUGAGUUCUGAGUCAAUGCAAAAAACGGGGUGGGGGCGAGAUUCCACCCUCCUCCCAUAAUCCUACCAUUCAAAGAUAACUGAAAGUUAACCACCAUUUAACUUUUUAAAUAUUUGGUAUUGAUUUACAAAAAAUAGGUUUAAAGU